GUCUCCUUAGCUCAGUUGGCUAGAGCAUUCGACUUUUAAUCGAAGGGUCCUGGGUUCAAGUCCCAGAGGAGGCACCA
rnacentral:tRNA from 1 species